rnacentral:rRNA from 1 species
UACGUAGGUGGCAAGCGUUAUCCGGAUUCAUUGGGCGUAAAGCGCGCGUAGGUGGUUUUGCAAGUCAGAUGUUAAAUCUCUCGGCUUAACUGGGAGCGGUCAUCUGAUACUGCUGGACUUGAGGGUGGUAGAGGGAGGUGGAAUUCCCGGUGUAGUGGUGAAAUGCGUAGAUAUCGGGAGGAACACCAGUGGCGAAAGCGGCCUCCUAGGCCAUUCCUGACACUGAGGCGCGAAAGCGUGGGGAG